UACGGAGGGUGCAAGCGUUAUCCGGAUUCACUGGGUUUAAAGGGUGCGUAGGAGGGUAGGUAAGUCAGUGGUGAAAUCUUCGAGCUUAACUCGGAAACUGCCGUUGAUACUAUCUAUUUUGAAUACCGUGGAGGUGAGCGGAAUAUGUCAUGUAGCGGUGAAAUGCUUAGAUAUGACAUAGAACACCAAUUGCGAAGGCAGCCAUCUGGACCGACACUGACGCUGAGGCGCGAAAGCGUGGGGAGCAAACAGG
rnacentral:rRNA from 1 species